rnacentral:lncRNA from 13 species
GCACUCUUUGAACUUGGAGUAUUCAGGCUCGCGGCCCUCCUUCAGGGCCUUGAAGGUCUCCAUAAACUUCUUCAGCUUGCCUGGAGGCAGGAAGUCUCUGAUGAAGUGCUUGGCCCGGCCCAUCUUCGUCAGCUGCUCGGCGAAUUCCCUCGUCGUGUCCAUCUCCAUGCGCCGCAGCUGGUGCUUCCGGGUGCCCAGCUCGCAGUCCACCUCCUUGUCGCUGUGGCAGCGGUGCUGGUGCUGUGCACCGUCUUCUCCCACAGCAGCUGCAUGUCCUGCGUGGCCCGCUGGUGCUCCAUGAUCACGUCGUAUGUCUGAUGCAUCUCCUGCUGCUUCUUCAGCGGCUUCUUCCUGGCGUCCAACAGCUCUGUGACGCCCACUAGCCCCAAGGACUUCUGCUUCUCAUAGCGAGGCCCGUGAGGUACUGAACUGACAGAGGAGAGGGAGAGGCAUCCACGUCCCUCACCAGCUCAGCAGGUGAGAGCUCGGCCUUGUUCUCUUUAGGCCCCCAACCGGCUCUUCCGCUUUCUCUUCACAGUGGUUGCAGAGGGGGUCUGGCUUCCCGGGGGUGGCUGGAGCAGACACUCAGACAGUGCGCCACCAGCAGCUGCUUGACUGCGAGAGCUCGUCACCUGGCCCGGGGAGCUGGCCAGCCCCAGGCCUGUAUGCUUGCUGAUGAGGAGGGACCCCUUUCCUGCACUGGGGCUAUGAACUCGAGACCAAGGCAGAGGGCAGAGACUUUCCAGACAAGAAUGGAGACCAUGUCCCUUUUGUUCACACUGGUAGUCCUAAAGUCAAGCACAGUGUCUGUUGUAAAUAAGAUAGUUGUUGAAUAAAUAUUUGUUGAAUGAGUGAAUGGAUGUCUUUAUUUGCUUGUCCUUUGUUUACCACCAGAAGUUCGGGUCCAGCCUUUUCACUCCUGUAUCUAUUUCCACUAAAAAUAUCUCUCUAAUCUGCUCAGUGAUAAAGAAAGAAAUGGUUCAAGAUGGAUACUGCUUUUGUGG